AAGAAUUUCAAGAAGAGGGGUAAUCCACUCUCUCUAAGAAGAAUAAGACUCCAAUAUUGUAACAAAAGAAGUAUCAAUUUAGAGGAGGGUAAUCCACAACCUCUAAAAAAAUGCUUGUAUACCUUCAAGUAGAGGGAUAAUCCACACUCUACUAAGAAAGAACUAGCUCUGAUAUCUCAAGUUACUGCAAUCUCGACAAACUGUCACGGAUACAAAAUACAGACUUGAAAU
rnacentral:lncRNA from 1 species